AUUGAACGCUGGCGGCAGGCCUAACACAUGCAAGUCGAGCGAGCGGCGGACGGGUGAGUAAUAUCUGGGAAACUGCCUGAUGGCGGGGGAUAACUACUGGAGACGGUAGCUAAUACCGCAUACCAUCAGAUGUGCCCCGAUGGGAUUAGCUAGUAGGUGGGGUAAAGGGUCACCUAGGCGACGAUCCCUAGCUGGUCUGAGAGGAUGAACAGGCAAACCGGAACGUGGGAACGGUCCAGAACCCUACGGGAGGCAGCAGUGGGGAAUAUUUGACAAUGGGCGCAAGCCUGAUGCAGCCAUGGCGCGUGUGUGAAGAAGGCCUUCGGGUUGUAAAGCACUUUCAGCGGGGAGGCGUUAACCGCAGAAGAAGCACCGGCCAACUCCGUGGCAGCAGCCGCGGUAAUAC
rnacentral:rRNA from 1 species